GUCCUAGCCGUAAACGAUGGACACUAGGUGUUGGUGGUAUCAACCCCGCCAGUGCCGAAGCUAACGCAUUAAGUGUCCCGCCUGGGGGAGUACGGCCGCAAGGCUAAACUCAAAGGAAUUGACGGGGCCCGCACAAGCAGCGGAGCGUGGGGUUUAAUUCGACGCAACGCGAAGAACCUUACCAAGGCUUGACAUGACCAGGACAGCGGCGGAAACGUCGUCUUCCCGCAAGGGACCUGGCCACAGGUGUUGCAUGGCUGUCGU
rnacentral:rRNA from 1 species